CAAUAGCGUAUAUUAAAGUUGUUGCAGUUAAAAAGCUCGUAGUUGGAUUUCUGGUUGAAGCGACCGGUCGGGCGUUGAUUCGUCUGCACUGGAGUCGGUUUUGGCCAUCCUCUAGGAAAGUGCGUCUGGUAUUAAGUUAUCGGGCGUAUGAUCCUGGUCUUUUACUGUGAAAAAAUUAGAGUGUUUAAAGCAGGCCUUCGCCUUGAAUACAUUAGUAUGGAAUAAUAAGAUAGGACUUUGGUCUAUUUUGUUGGUUUGCAGACCGAAGUAAUGAUUAAUAGGGAUAGUUGGGGGUAUUUAUAUUCCGAUGUCAGAGGUGAAAUUCUUAGAUUUUCGGAAGAUAAACUUAUGCGAAAGCAUUUACCAAGGAUGUUUUCAUUAA
rnacentral:rRNA from 1 species